rnacentral:rRNA from 1 species
CAGCCGCCGCGGUAAUACGGAGGGGGCUAGCGUUGUUCGGAAUUACUGGGCGUAAAGCGUGCGUAGGCGGUGAGUUAAGUCUGCUGUGAAAUCCCCGGGCUCAACCUGGGAAUGGCAGUGGAUACUGGCUCGCUAGAGUGUGUCAGAGGAUGGUGGAAUUCCCGGUGUAGCGGUGAAAUGCGUAGAGAUCGGGAGGAACAUCAGUGGCGAAGGCGGCCAUCUGGGACAACACUGACGCUGAGGCACGAAAGCGUGGGGAGCAAACAGGAUUAGAUACCCGGGUAGUCCCUGUCUCUUAUAU